GUCCGUGACGAUUUAAAACCUACAUCAAUCAUUUGCUCUCAACGAGGGCUAUCGAUUGGCGUUGCUAAUAGACCUUUUCACGAUGGCCGAAAUCCCUUUCACCGGAAUCCUUCGUCUUUGUCAAAAUUCGUUGAACCUCAACGAGAUUUGUUCAAUGAAAUACUUAUCGGACAUCAAGCAUCCAGAUAAGUGUUCAUUGGACGAAGGUCGCUAUAAUUUAACCUCGAAACUCCGGCGUUUGAUUUGAACCCUAAGCUUCCGGUCUUACCAGCUCUGUACAGAUAGACCCGGUGACGCCCCUCCCCAGUAGGUGCAUGAUUCAACUGUUGAUUGUUGCUCUCUCUCCUUCGGGGUAGCUGUUCAUAAGUUAAUAGGUAUAGGGGAUUUUGUAAAUGUUUUGGGAACGGUGGGGCCUUGUCCCAACCUAGUUGUGUACAUCUAUGCUUUUUUGUACUCUUAGAGGCUUGCAGGCUAGAGUUCAGUUGUAUAUUGUGUAAAAGGGGCAGUUACGACUUCGUUAAGAACAAUUGAAAUUAUGUAUAAAGUGCUAAAGUUUUCUUUAUUAAUCAGUUGUACUCAUUUACAA